rnacentral:rRNA from 1 species
GACGAACGCUGGCGGCGUGCCUAAUACAUGCCAGUAGAACGCUGAAGCGAGGAGCUUGCUCUUCUUGGAUGAGUUGCGAACGGGUGAGUAACGCGUAGGUAACCUGCCUGGUAGCGGGGGAUAACUAUUGGAAACGAUAGCUAAUACCGCAUAAAAUUGAUUAUUGCAUGAUAAUUAAUUGAAAGAUGCAACUGCAUCACUACCAGAUGGACCUGCGUUGUAUUAGCUAGUUGGUGAGGUAACGGCUCACCAAGGCGACGAUACAUAGCCGACCUGAGAGGGUGAUCGGCCACACUGGGACUGAGACACGGCCCAGACUCCUACGGGAGGCAGCAGUAGGGAAUCUUCGGCAAUGGGGGGAACCCUGACCGAGCAACGCCGCGUGAGUGAAGAAGGUUUUCGGAUCGUAAAGCUCUGUUGUAAGAGAAGAACGGGUGUGAGAGUGGAAAGUUCACACUGUGACGGUAUCUUACCAGAAAGGGACGGCUAACUACGUG